GACGAACGCUGGCGGCGUGCCUAACACAUGCAAGUCGAACGGAAAGGCCCUGCUUUUGUGGGGUGCUCGAGUGGCGAACGCGGGAGUAACACGUGAGUAACCUGCCCUUGACUUUGGGAUAACUUCAGGAAACUGGGGCUAAUACCGGAUAGGAGCUCCUGCUGCAUGGUGGGGGUUGGAAAGUUUCGGCGGUUGGGGAUGGACUCGCGGUUUAUCAGCUUGUUGGUGGGGUAGUGGCUUACCAAGGCUUUGACGGGUAGCCGGCCUGGGAGGGUGACCGGCCACAUUGGGCCUGAGAUAGGGCCCAGACGGCUACGGGAGGCAGCAGUGGGAAAUAUUGCACAAUGGGCGGAAGCCUGAUGCAGCAACGCCGCGUGCGGGAUGACGGCUUUCGGGGUGUAAACCGCUUUCGCCUGUGACGAAGCGUGAGUGACGGUAAUGGGUAAAGAAGCACCGGCUAACUACGUG
rnacentral:rRNA from 1 species